GUCGAUUAUUUGGAGUCGGCUUUCUGCUGGAGAAAACCACCGGCUUGUGAAUUUUCAUACACGUUUUUAGAACAGCGUUUUUACAAAUAUAAUAGUGACUACCUUACAUACAAUACAUAAACUACAGUUAGACUUCACAGACGAGCAAGUGCAGCGGAAGGUGUGUGUUGAAAAGCUAGGUGGCACAACUAUUGCGGUUUUUAGAAACAAAGACAAGUAUGCGCGUAUUUUUACCAUUAUCACAUGUAGUUCUACGGACAA